rnacentral:lncRNA from 1 species
UAAAAACCUUAUGGUGCACCCCCAUAACCUCAGUUCGAAUUCCUUCUUUGUUUCUAAAAAUAUUUUUAGCCGAUUAUGCACCAGUGCACCCAGUGAAUGAAUCUUCUAGCUUUACCCCUGAAUGUAUACGUACGAUGUUAAUAAUGUUAAAAGUAACUUUUCAAAUAUAAUAAAAGCGAUCAAAAUAUAUAAUUAGACA